UCGAACAGGAAUUGGUUAUGAUAAUGGUCACUGACUAGUCACUACCAGUAGUUAGGUACUCUAAAAAAAAAAAAAAAAAAACUGGUAGAACAGCUUCUUGGUUUUCUUGUUAUUGAAAAUUGAAAAUCUAAAAAUGCAACUGAUUGAGCAGUAAACUCAAAUGUGUUGUGAACGCUGUGAUCAAAGUCUGCGAGUUUAUUAUAAUAUACUAAAGACUUCCUGUAAUGUUCAUAUCUCUGAUCAUUGAAACACUAUUGGGAAUUGCAUACAUUUUAAAUGAAACCGAAGGUGUCAUACGGGAUGAACUCACACCAUUAAGAGACGUGUGAAAGCAUGGAGUAAGAUUGAUAGUAAUAACGCUUCAUAUUUAAACCUCUUCUGCAACCACUGUUUUGCACAGAGCAAGAAAAUAUUCAGAUAAGAAAAUUAAAAGUUUUAAUAAAAAUAUACUUUUGACUGUACCUUUGGGCAAAUACUUUGAUUGAUGCACAUUUGCUGUUAAACAUAUUUCAUAUUAAUAAAGAUAUGUACAAACGAGCUUCAAACUAUAAAUACAGAUUUUACUAUAAAGGUAACAGAAUGAUCUGUCCUAUCAUAAGAAAGAGCAUAGUGUCUUGAAAGAUAAUCGAUAAACAUCGUUUUUUUAAACUAUUUAUUGCAUGAAUUUACAUACUUUUUAAUUUAUUAAACUUGAGUAAAAAUCAAAACACAUCCUUUAAGGCCGUUAUUACUAAAUAAAUAAACAAGAACCAAGUAAGCCUAAUAAAUGUAGCAUUGCUAUAAGGAACAUGAUUUGUUAGUCCAUUGCACUGAUUUUAUGCUUAUUC
rnacentral:misc_RNA from 1 species